GGCGCACGGGUGAGUAACAUGUGGGAAUCUGCCUGAAGGUUCGGAAUAACUGCGGGAAACUGUAGCUAAUACCGGAUGUGUCUGUAAAGAGAUAGAUUUAUCGCCUUCAGAUGAGCCCGCACUAGAUUAGCUAGUUGGUGAGGUAACUGCUCCACCAAGGCUACGAUCUAUAGCUGAUUUGAGAGGAUGAUCAGCCACACUGGGACUGAGACACGGCCCAGACUCCUACGGGAGGCAGCAGUAGGGGAUAUUGGACAAUGGGGGAAACCCUGAUCCAGCAAUGCCGCGUGAGUGAAGAAGGCCUUCGGGUUGUAAAGCUCUUUCAUCAAUGAUGAUAAUGACAUUAGUUGAAGAAGAAGCCCCGGCUAACUUCGUGCCAGCAGCCGCGGUAAUACGAAGGGGGCUAGCGUUGUUCGGAAUCACUGGGCGUAAAGCGUAUGUAGGCGGAUCAAAAAGUUAGAUGUGAAAUCCCUGGGCUCAACCCAGGAACUGCAUUUAAAACUAGUGAUCUAGAAUUUGGUAGGGGUUAGUAGAAUUUCCAGUGUAGAGGUGAAAUUCGUAGAUAUUGGAAAGAAUACCAGUGGCGAAGGCGACUAACUGGGCCAUUUUUGACGCUGAGAUACGAAAGCGUGGGUAGCAAACAGGAUUAGAUACCCU
rnacentral:rRNA from 1 species